CAGUAGCCGCGGGAAUACAGAGGGUGCGAGCGUUAAUCGGAUUUACUGGGCGUAAAGCGUGCGUAGGCGGCUUUUUAAGUCGGAUGUGAAAUCCCUGAGCUUAACUUAGGAAUUGCAUUCGAUACUGGAAGCUAGAGUAUGGGAGAGGAUGGUAGAAUUCCAGGUGUAGCGGUGAAAUGCGUAGAGAUCUGGAGGAAUACCGAUGGCGAAGGCAGCCAUCUGGCCUAAUACUGACGCUGAGGUACGAAAGCAUGGGGAGCAAACAGGAUUAGAUACCCCGGUAGUCCCUGUCUCUUAUACA
rnacentral:rRNA from 1 species